rnacentral:rRNA from 1 species
AUUGAACGCUGGCGGCAUGCCUUACACAUGCAAGUCGAACGGUAACAGGUCUUCGGAUGCUGACGAGUGGCGCACGGGUGAGUAAUACAUCGGAACGUGCCCGAUCGUGGGGGAUACGGAGCGAAAGCUUUGCUAAUACCGCAUACGAUCUACGGAUGAAAGCAGGGGACCGCAAGGCCUUGCGCGGACGGAGCGGCCGAUGGCAGAUUAGGUAGUUGGUGGGAUAAAAGCUUACCAAGCCGACGAUCUGUAGCUGGUCUGAGAGGACGACCAGCCACACUGGGACUGAGACACGGCCCAGACUCCUACGGGAGGCAGCAGUGGGGAAGUUUGGACAAUGGGCGAAAGCCUGAUCCAGCCAUGCCGCGUGCAGGAUGAAGGCCUUCGGGUUGUAAACUGCUUUUGUACGGAACGAAAAGACUCUUUCUAAUAAAGAGGGUCCAUGACGGUACCGUAAGAAUAAGCACCGGCUAACUACGUG